rnacentral:rRNA from 1 species
UACGAAGGGGGCGAGCGUUGUUCGGAAUCACUGGGCGUAAAGGGUGCGUAGGCGGGUUUUUAAGUCAGGGUGAAAUCCUGGAGCUCAACUCCAGAACUGCCUUUGAUACUGAAGAUCUUUGAGUCCGGGAGAGGUGAGUGGAACUGCGAGUGUAGAGGUGAAAUUCGUAGAUAUCGAGAGGAACACCGGUGGCGAAGGCGCCUUCUGGACAGUGACUGACGCUGAGACGCGAAAAGCGUGGGGAGCAAACAGG